AUUGAACGCUGGCGGCAGGCCUAACACAUGCAAGUCGAACGAGUGGCGGACGGGUGAGUAAUGUCUGGGACACUGCCCGAUGGAGGGGGAUAACUACUGGACACGUUCGCUAAUACCGCAUACCAUCGGAUGUUCCCAUAUGGGAUUAGCUAGUUGGUGGGGUAACGGCUCACCUAGGCGACGAUCCCUAGCUGGUCUGAGAGGAUGACCAGCAACACGGGAACUGAGACACGGUGCAGAGUCCUACGGGAGGCAGCAGUGGGGAAUAUUGCACAAUGGGCGCAAGCCUGAUACAGCCAUGCCGCGUGUAUGAAGAAGGCCUUCGGGUUGUAAAGUACUUUCAGCGAGGAGGCGUUACUCGCAGAAGAAGCACCGGCUAACUCCGUGCCAGCAGCCGCGGUAAUUC
rnacentral:rRNA from 1 species